AUGAAGUCCUGAAAGCCAGAAGUGCUCUGUUUAUCCCAGAAUAAGUACAGCAAGGGCAGCAGGAGGACAAGCUUCUCCAUGCUGUGACUUUGAAGGACUACCUAUAAGAGUGAAUGGGCAGUUCGGUCUUCAUCCUUUGCCAUGCCUGACCUUCU
rnacentral:sRNA from 1 species